GACGAACGCUGGCGGCGUGCCUAAUACAUGCAAGUAGAACGCUGAAGGAGGAGCUUGCUCUUCUGGAUGAGUUGCGAACGGGUGAGUAACGCGUAGGUAACCUGCCUGGUAGCGGGGGAUAACUAUUGGAAACGAUAGCUAAUACCGCAUAACAGUAGAUGUUGCAUGACAUUUACUUAAAAGGUGCAAUUGCAUCACUACCAGAUGGACCUGCGUUGUAUUAGCUAGUUGGUGGGGUAACGGCUCACCAAGGCGACGAUACAUAGCCGACCUGAGAGGGUGAUCGGCCACACUGGGACUGAGACACGGCCCAGACUCCUACGGGAGGCAGCAGUAGGGAAUCUUCGGCAAUGGACGGAAGUCUGACCGAGCAACGCCGCGUGAGUGAAGAAGGUUUUCGGAUCGUAAAGCUCUGUUGUAAGAGAAGAACGAGUGUGAGAGUGGAAAGUUCACACUGUGACGGUAUCUUACCUGAAAGGGACGGCUAACUACGUG
rnacentral:rRNA from 1 species